CCUGUUCUGAGCAAUGGCUGCAAAAGCUAUUCAAAAGCUUGUGUUAACGAAACUUUUGCUAGCAUCAUUUUACAAAGACUUGCUGUGCGAUCACGUAACGCAGUCACCAUCCGUUCUUCUGGCAACAGCGGGGAGCCAGGCAAAACUGUUUUGCAGCUACGCUACGAGUUAUGGAAAUCCUGAUUUAUAUUGGUAUCGUCAGCUCUCCGACAACUCGCUGCAGUACAUUCUGUACAGAGAUAACUCCCGAUCCCACAAUGCCAAUUUUGCCAAAGAACGUUUUACGGUGGAACGCCAAACAUCGGAGAAAACCUUCCACCUGGUUGUAUCUGCAGUAAGAGUGGAGGACUCUGCUCUCUACCUCUGUGCACUUAGUCCCACAACGAUGCAGCUGUGCUACCCAGCUGUACAAAAACUUCCUGCAAGGGACAUUUCUUCCCCCCUUUGUAUUCUGAAGCUUUUACCACUGCCCUGAUUUGGUACAACAUUACAAAUGCAUAAACUGCAAGGUCAGAAAGCGCUGCUAUGAGAUGCCAUUGGCUCCACACAUGUCUUUGUUGGAUGAGACUCUUGGGAUGUGUCCAAAUUGUCUCUUGCCCCAC